rnacentral:rRNA from 1 species
GACGAACGCUGGCGGCGUGCUUAACACAUGCAAGUCGAACGGAAAGGCCCUGCUUUUGUGGGGUGCUCGAGUGGCGAACGGGUGAGUAACACGUGAGUAACCUGCCCUUGACUUUGGGAUAACUUCAGGAAACUGGGGCUAAUACCGGAUAGGAGCUCCUGCUGCAUGGUGGGGGUUGGAAAGUUUCGGCGGUUGGGGAUGGACUCGCGGCUUAUCAGCUUGUUGGUGGGGUAGUGGCUUACCAAGGCUUUGACGGGUAGCCGGCCUGAGAGGGUGACCGGGGACAGUGGGACGGAGGGAAGGGCCGGCGGGCGACGGGAGGGAGUAGGGGGGGAGAGGGGAGAACGGGCGGAGGUUGGAGGCAGCAGCGCCGGGUGGGGGAGGAGGGGUGUCGGGGAGGAAAAAGAAGGCGCCUGGGACGUAGAGGGAGUGAAGGGAGGGGGUAAAGAAGCAACGGCUAACGACGGG